rnacentral:rRNA from 1 species
UGGGGAAUUUUGGACAAUGGGCGAAAGCUGAUCCAGCAAUGCCGCGUGUGUGAAGAAGGCCUUCGGGUUGUAAAGCACUUUUGUCCGGAAAGAAAUCCUUGGCUCUAAUACAGUCGGGGGAUGACGGUACCGGAAGAAUAAGCACCGGCUAACUACGUGCCAGCAGCCGCGGUAAUACGUAGGGUGCAAGCGUUAAUCGGAAUUACUGGGCGUAAAGCGUGCGCAGGCGGUUUUGCUAAGACCGAUGUGAAAUCCCCGGGCUCAACCUGGGAACUGCAUUGGUGACUGGCAGGCUAGAGUAUGGCAGAGGGGGGUAGAAUUCCACGUGUAGCAGUGAAAUGCGUAGAGAUGUGGAGGAAUA